ensembl:lncRNA
ACUGUCACCUUUGGCUUGCUUAGUUGGGGACGCUUGACUGAUUGAACAGACGCUAUUGGAAGAGAGCUGAACUGGAUGAUGACAUCACUGAAUCAAUAAACUGACCUUAGCUGGAAAAAUGACUAUUUGUUAAUGUCCUACUGCAUUACUGACAAACCAUUUUCCUGUUUGACACUGUAAAGCUGCUUUGACACAAUCAGUAUUGUUUAAAGCGAUAUACAAAUAAAGUUGAAUUGACUUGACUUUACAUGAGUUCAUGUGUAGGCCUAGUGAGGAAUGAUUUGGCCACAAAAAAAAAAAAAAAACACUAACCCAUGUUGUAAUGGGUAAAUGGAACGGAAUGCUGACAAGAGGAAAAAGAUUAAAAAGGGGAAGAUUCACUUCCACUAGGUCCAAAAAAUAUGCUGUGAUGAAACAAACCUCUUAACCCACCUGAUAUUUCAUUUAUUUCAUAUGAGUAAGCGUAAAACCACAACUUGGUGUCUGCAGUCUCACAGUAUAAUUGAAACGGGUUAAGUUCAUGUCACUCCUCCCCUAAAACCUACAACUCACCUCUCAUUUGUCAGCUAACUUCAGAACAGAAAAGACUGAACCUGAGAACAGUAAUACAUACAUUGCUGCAGACUCCAAGGCAGAAAGAAAAUUACAAUCAAAAUCCAAUAAUCUACUCUCAAAUGGAUCGCAGCCAGCCUUUCAGUCACACACGUCCAUAUCCAGGACAGUCUGGGGUCACUGUACAGCCUCCAGUUUUUGUGACCACUGCUCCACUGGCCAGACCAGUGCCAGAUCACUUGGGCUACUCCAUCUUCACCUUUCUGUGCUGCUGUUUUCCUCUGGGCAUUGCUGCAAUAGUUUUCUCCUGCUUUACUCGAGAUGCCAUCUACUCAGGACAGCAAGAAUUAGCAAAGAGGCAUUCCAAAACAGCGCUCAUGCUGAAUCAUAUCGGCCUUGGGAUUGGCUUGGUUAUUAUUGUAUUGAUUAUUUUCAACCAGAUGAUGAAAUGAAGAUAAAAGCUUUUAGAGCUGAAAUGGCUGGAAGCAUCUUAAAAACAGAUUUGUUUUUCUUUAUGUUACUUGUUCAAUUUAUAAUUAUUCUUAUGCUUUUAGGCUGAUUAUUCUAUGUUUAAACCAAGGCUACCAUGCAGUUUUCUGUUCUCUUUACUUCUAAAAUGUUUUGUUUAGGCUUUUGGCUUAUUUUAAAUAUCUUGUGUGCAGCUGGGUUUUUUUUUCACAAACUUAAACAGAAAUGAAAGUUUUAGUCAAAUACUCAAAUCAGAAAGUGCAUUAUGGGAACACCAGUAUCAGAAAAGUUGAGUAGAUUUUACUCAAUAUAAAAUUGCUUUUUUUAUUGCCUGAACUAACUUUUUCAUGUAGAAAUUAAACUUGUUUUUCUGUAGUAUUUACUUCAUCACAGAAUCAUUUUUAGCAUGGAGUGCUGACAGAAAGAAAACUAGUUUGGUAUGAUGGCUAGAAUUAUUAUUUUUUUCUAAAUAAGACAACAAUUUGCUAUAUUUCUAAUACCAUAUUGUAAUACAGUCCUUGUCCAAAAAUAAAUAACUAAAUAAAUAAUACUUUUUGAACAAUUAGGUGUAGAUGUAGUUUUGAAAAAGUGACCUAUUUUGAGAGAUGUUUCCCAGCGAUUGUAAAUAAAACUGCAACUGAAGGAAAGGUAGAGUAAUUCUCUUUUUGAUUGAUCUUUGAGAAAAUAUAUAUUGUAAUUUUUUUUUUUUAAAGACCGAAAACUGUUGUCACUCGGGAUUUAUAUCCCUCCAUCUCCAUCAAUAAUCAUUUAUAACAACAUCCAGAUGCGACAUAGACCUCUAUUAUCUCGAUCAAGAGUAAAUUGCAAAAGUGUUCAGCAUUCUGCAAUAAAUAUGUUUCAGAUUUUCUUGACUAUUUUAAGUCGUAAAGUAAACAGUAUGUAUUAAAAUCCCACGCGUAGCUUUAGCAAUAGCCUACAUGAUACUAAGCGGGGCAGAUGGUGCCUGAGACCUAGGGGAGAGCAGGGUCGAAAGUAACAUGGGACGAAAGUAACAAAGCAAUUUUCUCAAAGCUAUGGAGUUUCGAUAUGAGUUAAAUGCAUAAAUCACACCUCAUAUAAAUUACACAUUAGUCUGCCACAUUACAGUUCGACUGUCUGAACAUGACGUCUAUGUGACGUCUUCGUGUCGUCUGGGUUCUUCUGGGGGUUUUUUUCUAUUGUUUUUAAUCUAGGGUAAAAAAAAAAUGAUAAUAAUUGGUAUGGUGAAAUGCAUGAAGUGUUUUUCUUUUUUUUCUUAUCCAUAGAUUCAUUUUAGGCAAGGCGUGUUGAUUUGAGAAGAACGCUAAAUUGAUCAAACAUAUGCUCAUUGAGCUUCCUGCCACUGGUCUCUUGGCUAUUUCUUAGAAAAAAACAAACAAACAAACAAAAAAUCCCCGAAUUUAAACGUGCAGUAUGGAAAUUUUGGCCACCAGGGGUCACUCAAUCAAAAUAAUAACAUAAUACGUACUUUGAUGACGUCGGGAAAGAGCGUAAGGCUCAUGGGAGUUAUUGUUCAUUGGAUCACGCACUCUGUCGCUUCCCACAUUCCCCACUCAUUCUAACUUAGUAUUUUGACAAUCACUUCUUUUCGAACAGAGAAAUAUAUGAAUUAUGAGACCCCUAUCAAAUCAAUAUUCCAUCUAGCUAUUAGUAAUAUAUGUUAAAAAACAGGGUCGCCUUUCGCGUUAAUAAUUAUAAAUACGUUAUACUAUGAUAUCGAACAAGUUAGUGAACUGCAUUUGAAGCUACUUUAGCCAGCUAGAUAUAAAACAAAUGUAGAUUUACAUGAGAGCUAGUCCGUCUGCGUUUUACACAAGACAUCAUCGUUUCACAAAAUAUACGGAUAGAUAAAGUUAGCUGAAUGGAUGCGUACCUGUUUAUCAGAAUGCAAGUGAGUUCUGCAUCUCUCUGUAGUUUCAGCUUGUCACGAAGCUCUCUCUAUCUUCGAAAUGCAACUCCAAUAUUUACCCGUGUCUUGUUGCUUCUCUUGUCCCAAAACCAUCUUGGGUCAUUUAUUUCACCCGCACGUUUGCGCUUCACAGAACGUGCAGGCAAAGCAUAAUCAUGAUCCAUAAAUAAGUUAUUGAUUGAGGUUUAAAUACGAAUAUAAACAAUAUAAAUAUAAAAUAUAAUAGUCUCGAUCAAGGCUAGCUCCUACUUUUUCUUCUUCGUCUCUUCUUUGCUUCUGUUCACCUUUGUAUUUGGCGGUUCCGCAGGAAGUUAGAUAAACUAGAGGGGUCAAAGUUUAUAUGACAAAACGGAAAUAAAGAAACUUGCUGUGUCUUCUAAUUAAACUAUAAUUUUCUCCGGAUUUGAAAGCUCAUGGAAACUGUCGGGAUGAUGUAAGUACACAACUAAAAAAUAUAUAUAACAUAGAUAUAGUGAUUUCUGCUAUUUCUAAAGCAGAAAAAUUACAUAUUGUGCCUUUAACAAACAUAACAUAUUCCUAAAUUAAACUAAUAGAGCAAAUAAAAUAGAUGACCACUCUGCCAUAAAAAAAAAAAACUGAAAUAUUGUAAUGGCUGUAUCAUCAGCUGUAUAUGGGAAAGAGAGAGAGAAAAAGAUGAGAUCCAGUCAGACUCGGGACUAGAAUUCUGAUGAACUGUGCAGGGCUCUCUAUUCGUUCCCUUGUUUGUUGACCCCCAACCCUUAUGCACCUUCAUACCCUGCUGCAUAGACGUGCCACUGUCCUAUAGCCUAUAUUUAUUUAAUAUCACACAAAGAGUAAAAAAUUUUCUCUCUCGCAAAAUUCACAAAAGUGAUAAAAAUUACUUUUUUGGAAAAUAUAAAUGUCCAUUACUGCUGUGAACGGACGGUUAUUGAAUGUGAAGAAUAUACAUAACUUUAGGAGUCAGCUUCUCCACGACGGUCCUGCAGCGCAACACACUCAGAAAAAUAUAGUCUGAUUGUGGUUAUUCUUUGCUUGUUUGGUACACACAAUUCACUGAUCAUAAAAUGUAAAAUAUAAGAAGAGGUGUGCUUGAAAAACUGAACAUUAUUCAGGCAUAAUGCAUUUUUCUAUGUAUUUUAUUAUUAUAUUACAGCAACAGUCUCAGAUCUAGCAGCCGAUUGUGAUCGAUGAGUUGGCCAUAAAGACGAUCAAGUAGCCUACUGUAGGCUACAUUAAAAAUGUACAAAAAAAGAUAAAAACACAAUAACCCUUAAAUGUAGUUUCAAAAAGAAUUUCAUAAAAAUAAACAUAGUUUAGGUAGGCCUAUCCUAUAAGAAACACAAACUUUGCUAAAGGAUUGCUUUUGUUAAGGCUUUAUACUCUGUUAUAUAAAAUUAAAUAAAAUAAAAAAGUUGGGAAAGACGCAAAAUAAGAAUGAAUUUGAAAGAACACCUCCUGCAUGAAAAAUAAUAUAAGUAACCCCUGAAAGAAAUUGUAAUGAUGAGACAGAGAGGUUCGGAUCCAUGUGCAAAACUUUUAAUGAGAAUGGUCAGACAGGCAAUGAUCAGCAACGGCGUCAGGUAUAUAGGGAUAACCAGAAUCGAAAACAGGAACAAGCAGAUGUCGGGGGCAGGCAGCAGAGAAUCAGAGUCGGUAUAAACAAUCCAAAGGUCAGGUACAGAGAGAUCCAACACAAGGAAAACGCUUGGAAAUGACAGACACAGCAAAUCAAUACUUCGCAGAGAGUGAGAGUGAGUGUGCUGCUUAUAUGUGUGUGUAAAUGAGGUGCAGGUGUGGCAGGGUGAUUGUGAUGAAGAGACUCAUGGGAAAUGUAGUUAGGGUGUGGUGCAACAGAUACGAGGUGCUAGAGUCCGAGUGACAUCUGGUGUUGAGUGUGGAAUUGUCCUGAUUGGAGUGCCCUCUACAAAAGUUCAUGGGCACUUCAUGUAAUGAUCGUGACAGAAAUAUUAUCUAAAAUUUCUUAAACUGUGUUCUGAAGAUAAACAGAGGUUUCACGUGUUUGGAACGACAUUAGGGUAAGUUAUUAAUGAUAUAAAUAUUAAUUUUUAAAUAGUUACUAUAGCUACAGAGGAAGGAGAUACAUAUCGCUGAUGAAUGCGGUUUAAAUUUGGAUCUGUUCCUCACACCAAGUAUCACAUGGGUACAGGAGUUAAAUAAAAAUAAAAUACUUUCAUGAUCAUUUUAUUUAAUGCUUGUGAAUGGCCGCAUACUUUAAAAAUUAUGUGCCCCCUCUCUCUAUUAUAGAUCAGUGUGUGUCUCUUAGUAAACCAAAUAAAUAUUACAUGAUAAUGGUAAAAUACUCUCUCUCUCUGUCUCUUUUCGUGUAAGGAUUCUAAGAUUUUUUGUACCAAGAAUAAUAAUAUAAAAUUUAAUAAAAUGUUUAAUUAAGUGCAGUUUAAUGCACUUGACUGAUUUGCUUAUUUUUUAAAUAUUAAUGUUUCAUUCAAUUUUGACUUGCCAUUUCAAAGACUAAAUUUUAACAAUACUACACUUCAUUAAAAUGUAAGUGAUCAUUUAACCAUUAUCAUGCAAUAUUGUAUUUAUCUUGUUUAUCAUUGGUCACAUAAUAUGCUUCCAGAUCUUAGCCUGAUUUGGGCCACAUAUCACCUGACUGAUCUGGGCCACACUCCUCCCAUCAACAAUCGGCCCUCAUGUUGUUUGCUGGAUCCCUGCAGUGCUGUCAUUGCAACACGUGGCCCAGCUCUGGCUGAAAGGAUACAUGCCAUUGCCGACAGGAGGCCAGCAGUGCCACCUUGAGGCCGCAUGUGAGCCAAGUCCGUUUGCUAUGUGGGAUGUCACUCCUUCCCUAAAACCUACAACUCACCUCUCAUUUGUUAGCUAACUUCAGAACAGAAAAGACUGAACCAGAGAACAGUAAUACAUACAUUGCUGCAGACUCCAAGGCAGAAAGAAAAUUACAAUC